rnacentral:rRNA from 1 species
CACGUAGGCGGCUUUCUAAGUCAGGGGUGAAAUCCUGGAGCUCAACUCCAGAACUGCCUUUGAUACUGGAAAGCUUGAGUUCGGGAGAGGUGAGUGGAACUGCGAGUGUAGAGGUGAAAUUCGUAGAUAUUCGCAAGAACACCAGUGGCGAAGGCGGCUCACUGGCCCGAUACUGACGCUGAGGUGCGAAAGCGUGGGGAGCAACA